UUCUAACUUUUACUAAAGCAUUACCAUGUUUAUGAUUCUU
rnacentral:tRNA from 1 species